GCACGGUGGAGUGGCUGGAUGUGUCCCGUCCGUGUCCGCCCUUGUUGGAUGAGGUGAUUGAGGAUGUGACGAGCAGCACAUCAUAUUUUUGGUGACAUAAAGAUACAGGUGCACUCCAUGAGAUUGAGGCAGGAUGGCUAGAUGAUGCCGCCUGCAACUGGAUCCAUCUCGGAGCCCCGACGAGGUCAUUGGGUCCAAACCUGAGCUCAGUUGGACUAUGGCAUCUAGCCCGACCAGAAGAUUUGUGUGGGAGUCCAAAGUUGAUGGAUCAUUCGCUAUCUCGGAGAAUACAUGGAAUGAACCCCUCGGUUGUGGAACUGAGAUCGAACUACAUCUCCGCGAUGAGGCUAAGGAGUACUUGGAAGAAGGCAAGCUGAAGCUUUCGCGGAAAAGAUGCAGACUGGAGGUGACUUGAAUCUCAUAGAACAAUUUGGUGUUGGCAUCUACUCAGGUGGCUUACUAUGUUGAAGUUGUCAGCAAGCACAAUGAUGAUAGACAGUAAGGCACCAUUAUACUUGUCUUUAUCACAGUACUGAUGCCUUGUGUUUUAAUUCUUCCCUUAAUUUCGCCUUGCAAUUUUCUUGAUGCUGUUAUGACGUAUUUUUCUCUAAUUGAUAUGUGUGGGAGUCCAAAGCUGAUGGAGCAUUUGCUAUCUCAGAGGAUACUUGGAAUGAACCCCUUGGCUGUGGAACUGAUAUCAAAUUACAUAUUUAUGAUGAGACUAAGGACACCCGGAGAAAG